UUUCCCAGUCUGUGAGUGACUGAGUAUAAUGCAGUGGAGGCUGAGAGAGACCCAGCUCUAGUAAGCAGGGUUGUCCAUACGAUUGGCAACUCUGAGCAGAAGCUGGAACAAAA
rnacentral:snoRNA from 1 species